UGCCCCAUGGCUGAGUUGGUUACAGCGUCCGACUGUUAAGUUAACAGCCGAAAUCGGAAGGUCGUGAGUUCGAGCCUCACUGGGGCAG
rnacentral:tRNA from 1 species